rnacentral:rRNA from 1 species
CCUACGGGAGGCUGCAGUGGGGAAUAUUGCGCAAUGGGCGAAAGCCUGACGCAGCGACGCCGCGUGAGGGAUGAAGGUCUUCGGAGCGGAAACCUCUGUCAACAGGGAAGAACGGUCACUGUGCUAAUCAGCAGUGAAUUGACGGUACCUACAAAGGAAGCACCGGCUAACUCCGUGCCAGCAGCCGCGGUAAUACGGAGGGUGCGAGCGUUAAUCGGAAUUACUGGGCGUAAAGCGCUCGUAGGCGGUAUGUCAAGUCAAGGGUGAAAUCCCCGCGCUCAACGUGGGAACUGCCUUUGAAACUGGCAAACUGGAGUGUGUGAGAGGAUAGUGGAAUUCCAGGUGUAGGAGUGAAAUCCGUAGAUAUCUGGAGGAACAUCAGUGGCGAAGGCGACUAUCUGGCACAUAACUGACGCUGAGGAGCGAAAGCGUGGGUAGCAAACAGGAUUAGAUACCCCUGUAGUC